rnacentral:rRNA from 1 species
AACGAGCGCUGGCGGCAGGCUUAACACAUGCAAGUCGAACGCAUCGCAAGAUGAGUGGCAGACGGGUGAGUAACGCGUGGGAAUCUACCCAGUUCUACGGAACAACAGUUGGAAACGACUGCUAAUACCGUAUACGCCCUAAGGGGGAACGAUUUAUCGGAAUUGGAUGAGCCGGCGUAAGAUUAGUUAGUUGGUGGGGUAAGGGCCUACCAAGGCGACGAUCUUUAGCUGGUCUGAGAGGAUGAUCAGCCACACUGGGACUGAGACACGGCCCAGACUCCUACGGGAGGCAGCAGUGGGGAAUAUUGGACAAUGGGCGCAAGCCUGAUCCAGCCAUGCCGCGUGAGUGAUGAAGGCCUUAGGGUUGUAAAGCUCUUUCACCGAUGAAGAUAAUGACGGUAGUCGGAGAAGAAGCCCCGGCUAACUUCGUGCCAGCCGCCGCCGUAAAAC